ACUUCAAAGAGCGAUGGCCAGUCUUGUUUACAAACUCGCAGAUUUGCGCUGAGUUUAAACGAAUAACAACUGUCCCUUUGAUGGCAACGUACACAUCGAAAGUGGACAAACACACACCGAAGCUACUGAACCUUUUCCGUGCAAAAGGAGGUGUCAAAGGAAAGAAAAUUAAGACAUUCCUUGAUUGUUUAGACCAGAACAACAGCAUACACAUCCGACGGGAGGUAGUGAUCAAAGGCCUCUGUGAGUUCCUGAACGAGGACUGCGAA